UACGAAGGGAGCUAGCGUUGUUCGGAAUCACUGGGCGUAAAGCGCACGUAGGCGGAUGUGUCAGUCAGGGGUGAAAUCCCGGAGCUCAACUUCGGAACUGCCUUUGAUACAGCACGUCUUGAGUCCGGAAGAGGUGGGUGGAAUUCCUAGUGUAGAGGUGAAAUUCGUAGAUAUUAGGAAGAACACCGGUGGCGAAGGCGGCCCACUGGUCCGGUACUGACGCUGAGGUGCGAAAGCGUGGGGAGCAAACGGG
rnacentral:rRNA from 1 species